rnacentral:rRNA from 1 species
GGAGUUUGGUCCGUGUCUCAGUCCCAAUGUGGCCGUUCGUCCUCUCAGAUCGGCUACCAAUCGUCGACUUGGUGGGCCGUUACCUCACCAACUAUCUAAUUGGACGCGGGUCCAUCCUGUACCACCGGAGUUUUUACCCCUGUGCCAUGCGGCACUGUGGUCUUAUGCGGUAUUAACAGUCGUUUCCAACUGUUAUCCCCCUGUGAAGGGCAGGUUCUCCACGCGUUCCUCACCCAUCCGCCGCUAAGAUAAACAUGAAUUCGGCCGAAGCUUCAUUCGGCGUUUAUCUCCGCUCGACUUGCAUGUGUUAGGCACGCCGCCAGCGUUCAUC